rnacentral:rRNA from 1 species
AGCGUAGGCGGACUUUUAAGUGGGAUGUGAAAUACUCGGGCUUAACCUGAGUGCUGCAUUCCAAACUGGAAGUCUAGAGUGCAGGAGGGGAAAGUGGAAUUCCUAGUGUAGCGGUGAAAUGCGUAGAGAUUAGGAAGAACACCAGUGGCGAAGGCGACUUUCUGGACUGUAACUGACGCUGAGGCUCGAAAGCGUGGGGAGCAAACA